rnacentral:rRNA from 1 species
UACGUAGGGCGCAAGCGUUGUCCGGAAUUAUUGGGCGUAAAGAGCUCGUAGGCGGUCUGUCGCGUCGGAUGUGAAAAUCCAGGGCUCAACCCUGGACCUGCAUUCGAUACGGGCAGACUAGAGUUCGGCAGGGGAGACUGGAAUUCCUGGUGUAGCGGUGAAAUGCGCAGAUAUCAGGAGGAACACCGGUGGCGAAGGCGGGUCUCUGGGCCGAUACUGACGCUGAGGAGCGAAAGCGUGGGGAGCAAACAGG